rnacentral:rRNA from 1 species
GACGAACGCUGGCGGCGUGCUUAACACAUGCCAGUCGAACGGAAAGGCCCUGCUUUUGUGGGGUGCUCGAGUGGCGAACGGGUGAGUAGCACGUGAGUAACCUGCCCUUGACUUUGGGAUAACUUCAGGAAACUGGGGCUAAUACCGGAUAGGAGCUCCUGCUGCAUGGUGGGGGUUGGAAAGUUUCGGCGGUUGGGGAUGGACUCGCGGCUUAUCAGCUUGUUGGUGGGGUAGUGGCUUACCAAGGCUUUGACGGGUAGCCGGCCUGAGAGGGUGACCGGCCACAUUGGGACUGAGAUACGGCCCAGACUCCUACGGGAGGCAGCAGUGGGGAAUAUUGCACAAUGGGCGGAAGCCUGAUGCAGCAACGCCGCGUGCGGGAUGACGGCCUUCGGGUUGUAAACCGCUUUCGCCUGUGACGAAGCGUGGGUGACGGUAAUGGGUAAAGAAGCACCGGCUAACUACGUG